rnacentral:rRNA from 1 species
UACGAAGGGGGCUAGCGUUGCUCGGAAUCACUGGGCGUAAAGGGCGCGUAGGCGGCCCUGUUGGUCGGGCGUGAAAUCCCCGGGCUCAACCUGGGAACUGCAUUUGUGACUGCACGGCUGGAGUGCGGCAGAGGGGGAUGGAAUUCCGCGUGUAGCAGUGAAAUGCGUAGAUAUGCGGAGGAACACCGAUGGCGAAGGCAAGCCGCUGGGCCUGCACUGACGCUCAUGCACGAAAGCGUGGGGAGCAAACAGG